rnacentral:piRNA from 1 species
UUCUAUGUUGCCCAGGCUGGUCUUGA